rfam:Oryza punctata chromosome 2, whole genome shotgun sequence.
ACUUGCCGGUCAUGCUGACACCAUCUACUCGGGCCUUGCUGACUGGCCUCCCCGAGUACACCAUCAACAGCUGGGCCGAGCUGAAGGCCCAGCU